UACCUACGGGGCGCAGCAGUAGGGAAUUUUCGGCAAUGGGCGAAAGCCUGACCGAGCAAUGCCGCGUGAGUGAAGAAGGCCUUCGGGUUGUAAAGCUCUGUUGUAAAGGAAGAACGGAUGGCAUAGGGAAUGAUGCCAUUGUGACGGUACUUUACGAGGAAGUCACGGCUAACUCCGUGCCAGCAGCCGCGGUAAUACGGAGGAUGCGAGCGUUAUCCGGAUUUAUUGGGUUUAAAGGGUGCGUAGGCGGAUCGUUAAGUCAGUGGUCAAAUUGAGGGGCUCAACC
rnacentral:rRNA from 1 species